rnacentral:tRNA from 1 species
GGCAUGCUAGCUCAGUCGGUUAGAGCGUCGUGCUAAUAACGCGAAGGUCGUAGGUUCGAUCCCUGCGCAGGCCA